rnacentral:rRNA from 1 species
CUCCUACGGGACGCAGCAGUGGGGAAUAUUGCACAAUGGGGGGAACCCUGAUGCAGCGACGCCGCGUGGGUGAAGGAGUAUUUCGGUAUGUAAAGCCCUAUCAGCAGGGAAGAACAAUGACGGUACCUGACUAAGAAGCACCGGCUAAAUACGUGCCAGCAGCCGCGGUAAUACGUAUGGUGCAAGCGUUAUCCGGAUUUACUGGGUGUAAAGGGAGCGCAGGCGGCGCGUUAAGCCUGGGGUGAAAGCCCGCGGCCCAACACGGGGACUGCAGUGG